GGGAGCAGCGCAGAGCCCGGCUUGGCCACACUGAUCGCCCGCCGCCAUGGGCUCCUCGCAGAGCAUCGAGACCCCGGGCGGCAGCACGGAAGGCUACCACGUUCUGCGGGUACAAGAAAAUUCCCCAGGACAUAGAGCUGGACUGGAGCCUUUCUUUGACUUCAUUGUUUCUAUUAAUGGUUCGAGAUUAAAAAAAGACAAUGACACUCUUAAGGAUCUACUGAAAGCGAAUGUUGAAAGACCUAUAAAAAUGCUCAUCUACAGCAGCAAAACCCUAGAGCUUCGAGAGACCUCAGUCACACCGAGCAACAUGUAGGGCGGCCAGGGCUUGCUGGGAGUGAGCAUUUGCUUCUGCAGCUUCGAUGGGGCAAACGAGAAUGUUUGGCAUGUGUUGGAAGUAGAAUCAAAUUCUCCUGCAGCACUGGCAGGCCUUAGACCUCACAGUGAUUACAUCAUUGGAGCAGAUACAGUCAUGAAUGAGUCUGAAGAUCUAUUCAGCCUUAUUGAAACACAUGAAGCAAAGCCACUGAAGCUUUAUGUGUAUAACACAGACACUGAUAACUGUCGAGAAGUGAUUAUCACACCAAAUUCUGCAUGGGGUGGAGAAGGCAGUUUAGGAUGUGGCAUUGGAUAUGGGUAUUUGCAUCAAAUACCUUCACGCCCAUUUGAAGAAGGAAAAAAAAUUUCUCUCCAGGACAAAUGACUGGUACACUUGUUACUCCUCUUAAAGAUGGAUUCACGGAGGUACGGCUGUCCUCAGUCAAUCCCCCAGCUUUGUCAUCACCAGGAACUAGAGGAAUUGAAAAGGCUCUGUCUGGACUUUCUAUUAGCUCAACCGCCAGCUGUCAGUAAUGUUCUUAGUACAGGUGUACCCACAGUACCAUUGCUGCCACCACAAGUAAAUCAAUCCUCACUUCUGUGCCACCAAUGAACCCAACUACUACAUUACCAAGUCUGAUGCCUUUGCAGCAGGACUGCCUAAUCUCCCCAACCUCCCUAACCUCAACCUCCCUGCGCACACAUCAUGCUAGGUGUUGGCCUGCGGAGCUCAUGAACCCCGGUUUGCCACUUCUUCCUUCCUUGCCUCCCCGAAACUUACCUGGCAUUGCACCUCCCCAUGCCUUCCGAGUUCCUCCCGUCAUUCCCUUUGGUUCCAGAGGGCUCUGCUACAGCCAGCUCAGGGGAGCUGCUGUCUUCCCUCCCACCCACCAGCAGCCCGCCUUCCGACCCUCUCAGGACUACUGCAAAGUCAGACGCUGUGUCCUCACUCACUGUGGAUGUGAUCCCCACUUCCAAGGCCCCCACCUGUUGAGAACAGAGUCAGAGACUCCACCCCUGCCAAUGAGAAGCCUGUUUCUGCAGUUAUGGAUGCAAAUGCUUCUGAGUCACCUUAA